ensembl:snRNA U6 U6 spliceosomal RNA
GUGUUCAUUUCAGCAGCACAUAUACUAAAAUAGGAAUGAUACAGAGAAGAUUAGCAUGAUCCUUAUGCAAGAAUGACAUGUAAAUUCAUGAAGAAUUCCAUAAUUUU